rnacentral:rRNA from 1 species
GAUCAUGGCUCAGAGCGAACGCUGACGGCAUGCUUAACACAUGCAAGUCGCACGGGCAGCAAUGUCAGUGGCGGACGGGUGAGUAACGCGUAGUAACGUGUCCUGAGGUGGGGGACAACCCCGGGAAACUGGGGCUAAUACCGCAUAUGGGCUGAGGCCCAAAGCCGAGAGGCGCCUUUGGAGCGGCCUGCGUCCGAUUAGGUAGUUGGUGGGGUAAAGGCCUACCAAGCCUGCGAUCGGUAG